rnacentral:rRNA from 1 species
UACGUAGGGUGCGAGCGUUGUCCGGAAUUAUUGGGCGUAAAGGGCUCGUAGGCGGUUUGUCGCGUCGGGAGUGAAAACUCAGGGCUUAACCCUGAGCCUGCUUCCGAUACGGGCAGACUAGAGGUAUGCAGGGGAGAACGGAAUUCCUGGUGUAGCGGUGAAAUGCGCAGAUAUCAGGAGGAACACCGGUGGUGAAGGCGGGUCUCUGGGCAACAACGUGACGCUGGAGGUGCGAAAGCGUGGGGAGCAAACAGG